GGAUGUUACAAUUCUCCCCUCCUAAAUAAAAACUUCGUCCCGAAGUUUACCUGUUGUAAACAAAUGCGGAUAUUGUUGUCGCAUGGUUUCUUCUGAUUCCCAAGUUGCUUCUUCUGUCUUAUGAUUCCUCCAAAGAACUUUCACCAAUGCUAUUUUCUUGUUCCGCAAUUCUUUAGUUUCUUUGGCUAGGAUCUGAACUGGUUCUUCUUCAUAAGUGAGAUCCGGCUGAAU
rnacentral:lncRNA from 1 species